rnacentral:lncRNA from 1 species
AAAGAUCUACAACUUUCAUGUUGAACAAAAUUCCAUUUGAAGAUUUUUUGACAAUGGAAAGUUGAGUUGAAGUCGUUCCAAAAACUUGCCAUUUUUUGGAAACUUGAAACCAUAAGUCCUUUUUCCUUUUGGAAACCUUUGCUAUGACCUCAAAUCCUUCAAUGUGAGUAUUUGAAAUGUCAAAUGAGACUUGUUUGAACAUGAAUGGAGU